GUGCAGUCAGCAGUGAAGAUUCAUCAUAUACUUGCCUCUGUUCGUUCGUUUUUUUUUCAAUUGAGUGUCAUCGAGCUACAGCGGACAUUGUUUUCAUGUUCCUAAACGUUCUUCUUUGUUACGCUAGACGGCCUUUGCCUAUGAUCACUCUUGUCAGAAGCAAGAAGCAUCAGUUUAGUUACGUUUACUUUACACAUCUCUGAAAAAAUUUCUCGCUGCUACUAUUAGGAGAAAAUGUGAAAGGGGCAUGCAGCCUACUGUCAACUAUUGUAUUGUAAAUCCUGGGAUCCACUGAAUGUGUCAUCCAAAUGACAGAGUGUGUUUUCUACAAAUAAUUCAUCGACAGUCAAGUUUCUUCCUUCAAAAUUUUUGAACUCUUAUUUUAUGCCAUUAAAACUUUUAUUUUCUGUCAUAGAGAAAGCUAUGGGAGCAUAAUGAAGGCCAUGGGUAAUCUUCAUCAGGUUUAUUGCAGCAACUAGAGAGAAUUCACAUGAAAAGAUGCAGGGCACAUACCAUUAUGGGUCGAUAUCUGAAUGUUUUACUCAAGAAAUAGAUGUGACAUGACUGUUUAGUGUUUAAUGCCAAAGUUAAGUUGGAACUCUAACUUAAACACAGAUAACGCAUUGCUGCUGCCUUACAGCCACUGGCAGGAAAAUUAUUCUUUUAUUCAGAAAAUUGGAAAGCUGCUGAAGUAAUCCCCACUUGAUUCAUUUCGUGUCAGCUAGUGAAAGGCGUCACGAAUUCAAAUUUGGCUGCUGCGUGCUGUCUGCAAGCAAGCAAUCCAAUUGGCGGUCGCUAGGUGGCGCGAGUGUCUUCAGGGACCAAAGUCUGCCAUUUUGAUCCAUGACACAGCAGAAGUGGGAUGCCGGUGUGAAGUUUCGCAUGAUGAAAAUGUAAAGUUCAAUACCAAUUUGUCAAAUCAUCUAACUCGGACUUGAGUGCCUGUUCAUUUUGCCGAAAUGUCGUGCCUCGUGUGUCUUGCUGCCUGUAUCUGUACGUCUCGUCCCAUGCAAAAGCAAAAGUCCGCUGUUGGUUACCUUGUUGCAGCCUGAUGGUGUAAGAUGUGAUGAAGACUAAUUGAACUGUGGUUCCAGUGUUAUUCAGAAGUAGCUGGCGGUCUCCUGGAGUAGCCUGAAGUAGCCUGAAGUUGCCAGUGGUAUCCGGGUUGCUGACUUUAAAUAUUUUUCUCUGUUCUCAUUUGUGUAUUUUGCCCUGCCAGUCAUCCCGUGUUGCUGACUUGAAAUAUUUUUAUCCAUUUUUAUUUGUGGUUUUGCUCUGCCAGUGAGCAAAAUGGUUGAAUUGGUUUCAUCUGUUGUCUUUUUGUUUUACUUGGGCAGUAUACGAUUGUGGCAAACUGAUUCUAUGUCAGUUUUGAUACAGUCGACAACUGCUAGAUUAAAUUCCGGCUUUCUGCACCAACAAAAUAAUAACGGCACAUGUUAU